GACGAACGCUGGCGGCGUGCCUAAUACAUGCAAGUAGAACGCUGCAGGCGGAGCUUGCUUCUCAGGAUGAGUUGCGAACGGGUGAGUAACGCGUAGGUAACCUGCCUGGUAGCGGGGGAUAACUAUUGGAAACGAUAGCUAAUACCGCAUAACAGUAGAUAUUGCAUGAUAUCUGCUUGAAAGGUGCAAUUGCAUCACUACUAGAUGGCCCUGAGUUGUAUUAGCUAGGUGGUGAGGUAACGGCUCACCAAGGCCACGAUACCUAAACGACCUGCGAGGGGGAUCUGCCACACUGGGACGGAGACACGGCCAGGACUACUAGGGGAGGCAGCAGUAGGGAAUCUUCGGCAAAGGACGGAAGUGUGACCGUGCAACGCCGCGUGAGUGAAGAAGGUAUUCGGAUCGUAAAGCUCUGUUGUAAGAGAAGAAUGAGUGUGAGAGUGGAAAGUGCACAUUGUAACGGUAUCUUACCAGAAAGGGACGGCUAACUACGUG
rnacentral:rRNA from 1 species